AAAAUAACAAUGAUUCCCCCAGUAACGGCGAGUGAACAGGGAAAAGCUCAAAGUUGGAAGCUCCUGGCCCUAGGCUAGGCGCAUUGUAAACUAAAGCUGUAAAGUAGUACGGUUGGCCUGGUAAAAAAGUUCCCUGGAAUGGGGCGACAUGGAGGGUGAAAUCCCCGUCUUUGGCCAGAGCUCAGUCAUGCGUUUGCUUUGCUGCGAAGAGUCAGGUUGUUUGGGAAUGCAGCCUAAAAUGGGAGGUAGACUUCUCCUAAAGCUAAAUAUUGACGAAAGACCGAUAGCGAACAAGUACCGUGAGGGAAAGAUGAAAAGCACUUUGAAAAGAGGGUCAAAAAGUACGUGAAAUUGCUGAAAGGGAACCGUAUGAAAUCAGCCUGAUGUGUGGGUAAUCAGCCUGGGCUUCGGCCUGGGUGCACUUGCCCAUGUAUUAGCCUGCGACAGUUUGACUUGGGGGAAAAAAGAUGGGGGAAUGUGGCCUCGGCUUCGGUCGUGGUGUUAUAGCCCCUGUCAAAAUACCUUGGGUUGGACUGAGGACUGCAGCGAGCCGUAAGGCAUGGGUCUCGGGCGCUUUGUCUUGGCGAAAAGUAAAUCUCUGCUUCGGGUGGUGUGCUUUUCGUGAGGGCAAACUCGCCUGUUUCUUCUUUCUCUCGCUUAGGUCGUAGGCAUAAUGAUUUUAUAUG
rnacentral:rRNA from 1 species